rnacentral:rRNA from 1 species
UACGAAGGGGGCUAGCGUUGCUCGGAAUCACUGGGCGUAAAGGGUGCGUAGGCGGGUCUUUAAGUCAGGGGUGAAAUCCUGGAGCUCAACUCCAGAACUGCCUUUGAUACUGAAGAUCUUGAGUUCGGGAGAGGUGAGUGGAACUGCGAGUGUAGAGGUGAAAUUCGUAGAUAUUCGCAAGAACACCAGUGACGAAGGCGGCUCACUGGCCCGAUACUGACGCUGAGACGCGAAAGCGUGGGGAGCAAACAGG